rnacentral:lncRNA from 10 species
UGGGCAGGGCCCCCUUGAGGAGCAGCCCUGGCAGGUGGGUCCUCGCCUUGUACGCUGCCUGCAGGUGCUGGAUGCUCCACAUGUGGGCACCGGGGAUGGUCCCACUUGAGGCUUUGAGCUCCGGCGAGGCCACCCUCUGUCCAGCCAGGGGGAGGGUGCCUCUGAGAAGGGGGCUGUCAGAGUUGCCUGAGGAGGGGGCUGGGAUGACCCCUAUCAAUCCCAGUCCUGGGGUUCCUUGGCUCUUGUCCCUCCCUGCAAGUGGGGAGGCCAUGAGAAGUUGUGGGGAAAGGCCCCAGAGACCCCAGGGCAGGGAAGGAGGCCUGGGGGCUGUGCUGGGGCCUGGAAGGGGGAGGCCUUGUGCUGCUCCCUGUGGUCUGACGGGCAGGAGGUUAGAGGGAGGGGCAGGCCUGCUUCCAGCAGGGUGGUCAGUGCAGGGCAGUCAGCGCAGGGCGGAGGUCUGUUUUCUCCUUGGUUAUUUCAGGUAAACCGCAUGCCCCGGGCCCCCAGAGUGGGAGAAAAGCCAGCCUGGGGGCACCAUACGGGUAUAAGAAUUCAUUUUGGACACAGUGUGUGUCCCCUUCUGCGGAACCUUUGAGCUCAAUAGCCCAAGGGCAGGCCAGGCUCACCGCCCCUUUGGCUGUUGCCACUCUGGGUCAGUCUCCAGGGGCAAGGACAGGUUGGCAGUGUCCCCCCUCUGCCUGACUCCAGUCUGGGCAUUUCUGGAGCAUCCUGUGCGCCUGGCUCAGCCCAGCAAGCUGACAUUUGAAAGCUCACAGCUGUCCUGUGAGGUGGGUGAUUCCCGUGUCGUUUCAUGGUGAAGAAGCCAAGGCCAGGACAGAAGUGACCUGUCCCCGGGCCACAGCUGGGCAGGGGCGGAGUUGGCAUUUGAACCCAGCUGCGUGCCUCUUGAGUGCUGCUCUGUGGGCCCCGCAGCCUCCUGUCAGCUCCUUCUGGCGCCUGCUCUGUGGGUGUUCCUUUUGUCUAAGGCGCCUGCAGCCCUCAGAGGGUCUGUGGGGUGGGGACAGAGCUCAGCACCCCGCAUCCACCAGCACCAUCUCCGACCUCUGUGCAGGCUUCGUGUUAGAGGUGGCAGCCAGGUCCUGCCAACGGAAGAUGCUGGGCCUUGGAAACAGCCUGCACUGUAGGUGACCCGGCCGGCCGGGCCCAAACUGGCUGCCAAGAAAAGGGAGCGGGAAAGGAAAACAGCUCUCGGCCACAUCGCCUGUGUAACCGAAUCUGUUUUCAAAGCCCCUCGCAACGCGGGCUCCGCAUUCGGCAGGGCAGGCACUCGCCGCCAGAUCCCCGAGGACUGCUCAGGGGGUCUUCUGGGAGGAGCUCAAAGCGAGUUUGUUUUCGGGGAGGAGGUCAUUGCACUCAAGGUCCCCGUGACUGC